rnacentral:rRNA from 1 species
AUCGAUUAGCUUCAGCGAUGGAUA